rnacentral:rRNA from 1 species
CAGCCGCCGCGGUAAUACGUAGGGGGCGAGCGUUACCCGGAUUCACUGGGCGUAAAGGGGGUGUAGGCGGCUCGGUAAGUCGGGUGUGAAAUCCCACGGCUCAACCGUGGAAUUGCGCCCGAAACUGCCGAGCUUGGGGCCGGUAGAGGGAGACGGAACUGCCGGUGUAGGGGUGAAAUCCGUAGAUAUCGGCAGGAACGCCGGUGGGGAAGCCGGUCUCCUGGGCCGCGCCCGACGCUGAGGCCCGAAAGCUAGGGGAGCAAACCGGAUAAGAUACCCGGGUAGUCCUAGCCGUAAACGAUGCCCACUAGGUGUGGGGGAGUAUUUCCUCCGUGCCGAAGCUAACGCAUUAAGUGCCCCGCCUGGGGAGUACGGCCGCAAGGUUGAAACUUAAAGGAAUUGGCGGG